rnacentral:rRNA from 1 species
AUGUUAAUAGCAUAUUCAUUUGACGUUAGCUGCAGAAGAAGCACCGGCUAACUCCGUGCCAGCAGCCGCGGUAAUACGGAGGGUGCGAGCGUUAAUCGGAAUUACUGGGCGUAAAGCGCAUGCAGGUGGUUUGUUAAGUCAGAUGUGAAAGCCCGGGGCUCAACCUCGGAAUUGCAUUUGAAACUGGCAAACUAGAGUACUGUAGAGGGGGUAGAAUUUCAGGUGUAGCGGUGAAAUGCGUAGAGAUCUGAAGGAAUACCGGUGGCGAAGGCGGCCCCCUGGACAGAUACUGACACUCAGAUGCGAAAGCGUGGGGAGCAAACAGGAUUAGAUACCCUGGUAG